UACAGAGGGGGCAAGCGUUGUUCGGAAUUACUGGGCGUAAAGGGCGCGUAGGCGGCCUGCUAAGUCGAACGUGAAAUCCCCGAGCUCAACUCGGGAACUGCGUCCGAUACUGGCAGGCUUGAAUCCGGGAGAGGGAUGCGGAAUUCCGGGUGUAGCGGUGGAAUGCGUAGAGAUCCGGAAGAACACCGGUGGCGAAGGCGGUCUGCUGGGGUAAUGCUGACACUGAUGCGCGACAGCGUGGGGAGCAAACAGG
rnacentral:rRNA from 1 species